AAAUAAAAUAAUGGAAGUUAAAAGCACCGGUUCUCGUCUGAUCACCGAAGUUAAGCAACAUCGACCCUAGUGAGUACUUAGAUGGGUGACCACUUGGGAAACCUAGGUACUGUAAGCA
rnacentral:rRNA from 1 species